rnacentral:rRNA from 1 species
GACAGAGGGUGCAAACGUUGCUCGGAAUUACUGGGCGUAAAGCGCGUGUAGGUGGAUACGUGUGUCAGGUGUGAAAUCCCUGGGCUCAACCCAGGAACUGCACUUGAAACUGCGUGUCUUGAGUGUUGAAGAGGGAAGCGGAAUUGCUGGUGUAGGGGUGAAAUCCGUAGAUAUCAGCAGGAACAUCGGUGGCGAAGGCGGCUUCCUGGGCAACUACUGACACUGAGACGCGAAAGCGUGGGGAGCAAACAGG